rnacentral:rRNA from 1 species
GUAGUCCAUGCCGUAAACGUUGGGCGCUAGAUGUGGGGACCAUUCCACGGUUUCCGUGUCGCAGCUAACGCAUUAAGCGCCCCGCCUGGGGAGUACGGCCGCAAGGCUAAAACUCAAAGGAAUUGACGGGGGCCCGCACAAGCGGCGGAGCAUGCGGAUUAAUUCGAUGCAACGCGAAGAACCUUACCAAGGCUUGACAUAUACGAGAACGCUUCAGAAAUGAAGAACUCUUUGGACACUCGUAUACAGGUGGUGCAUGGUUGUCGUCAGCUCGUGUCGUGAGAUGUUGGGUUAAGUCCCGCAACGAGCGCAACCCUCGUUCUAUGUUGCCAGCACGUAAUGGUGGGAACUCAUAGGAGACUGCCGGGGUCAACUCGGAGGAAGGUGGGGAUGACGUCAAAUCAUCAUGCCCCUUAUGUCUUGGGCUUCACGCAUGCUACAAUGGCCGGUACAAAGGGCUGCAAUACCGCAAGGUGGAGCGAAUCCCAAAAAGCCGGUCUCAGUUCGGAUUGAGGUCUGCAACUCGACCUCAUGAAGUCGGAGUCGCUAGUAAUCGCAGAUCAGCAACGCUGCGGUGAAUACGUUCCCGGGCCUUGUACACACCGCCCGUCAAGUCAUGAAAGUCGGUAACACCCGAAGCCAGUGGCCCAACCGCAAGGAGGGAGCUGUCGAAGGUGGGAUCGGUGAUUAGGACU